AAACUGCGAUAAGUAGUGUGAAUUGCAUUUAGUGAAUCAUCGAAUCUUUGAACGCACCUUGCACUCACUGGUAUUCCGGUGAGUACGCCUGUUUCAGUAUCAUUGAAAACACACAAUCAAAACAUUUUCUUUGGUUUGAUUGGCUUUGGGUCUAUCAAAAAGUUUGGCUUGUUUCUUACAAGCCAAGCGGCCUGAAAUAUAUUGUCUGGCUAAUUGCAUCGUUGAUGAUCGCUAUUAGACUUUGGCUUUUUUAAAUGAACUGGAGGUUGAUUAACCAGUUUUAGCUUUAGUCAAAUGGUCAUUGUAAAAAAAAUCUCGAUCUUGGCUAGGUGUUUAUAGCCGAAAAUUUUUUUUUUUGGCUAUAACCGAAACCAAUAUAAUCACAUUUAGUUAUCGAUCUGAAAUCAGGUGGGACUACCCGCUGAACUUAAGC
rnacentral:misc_RNA from 1 species